rnacentral:snoRNA from 15 species
GUGCUCACCAAGGCUUGGUCCUUACUACAUGGUUCCGGCCUGCCUGCGUGAGCAAGAGAAGGAGGGCUGGUUUGGGGGUGUCCUGUCCAAGUGGCCCCAGGACUCCAUGGUUUCCAGGCCAACA